GUCUAUGGCCACACCACCCUGAACAUGCCUGAUCUCGUCUGAUCUCGGGAGCUUAGCAGGGUCGGGCCUGGUUAGUACUUGGAUGGGAGACCACCUGGGAAUACUGGGUGCCGUAGGCU
rnacentral:rRNA from 1 species